AGACCCCGCAAGGGGUUGUUAGCGUGGCAAACGGGUGAGUAACACGUGGGCGACCUACCUCAGAGUGGGGGAUAACCUUCCGAAAGGAAGGCUAAUACCGCAUGACAUCCCAUGUUUGGAUACAUGGACAUCAAAGCCGGGGAUCGCAAGACCUGGCGCUUGGAGAGGGGCCCGCGUCCGAUUAGCUAGUUGGUGAGGUAACGGCUCACCAAGGCUCCGAUCGGUAUCCGGCCUGAGAGGGCGGACGGACACACUGGGACUGAGACACGGCCCAGACUCCUACGGGAGGCAGCAGUGGGGAAUUGUUCGCAAUGGGCGAAAGCCUGACGACGCAACGCCGCGUGGAGGAUGAAGACCUUCGGG
rnacentral:rRNA from 1 species